rnacentral:rRNA from 1 species
AGUGAACGCUGGCGGUAGGCCUAACACAUGCAAGUCGAACGGCAGCACAGUAAGAGCUUGCUCUUACGGGUGGCGAGUGGCGGACGGGUGAGGAAUACAUCGGAAUCUACUUUUUCGUGGGGGAUAACGUAGGGAGACUUACGCUAAUACCGCAUACGACCUACGGGUGAAAGCAGGGGAUCUUCGGACCUUGCGCGAUUGAAUGAGCCGAUGUCGGAUUAGCUAGUUGGCGGGGUAAAGGCCCACCAAGGCGACGAUCCGUAGCUGGUCUGAGAGGAUGAUCAGCCACACUGGAACUGAGACACGGUCCAGACUCCUACGGGAGGCAGCAGUGGGGAAUAUUGGACAAUGGGCGCAAGCCUGAUCCAGCCAUCCCGCGUGGGUGAAGAAGGCCUUCGGGUUGUAAAGCCCUUUUGUUGGGAAAGAAAAGCAGCAGGUUAAUACCCCGCUGUUCUGACGGUACCCAAAGAAUAAGCACCGGCUAACUUCGUG